UACAGAGGGUGCAAGCGUUAAUCGGAUUUACUGGGCGUAAAGCGUGUGUAGGUGGCUUCCUAAGUCGGUUGUGAAAUCCCUGGGCUCAACCUGGGAAUUGCAGUCGAUACUGGGAAGCUCGAGUUCGGUAGAGGGUGACGGAAUUCCCGGUGUAGCGGUGAAAUGCGUAGAUAUCGGGAGGAACAUCGAUGGCGAAGGCAAUCACCUGGACUGAUACUGACACUGAGGUGACGAAAGCGUGGGGAGCAAACAGG
rnacentral:rRNA from 1 species